AUGGUUUGGUUGAAAGAUGAAUAUGGGCACUUUCUUCGGAUACUUUUUGGAGCGUCGAGCCAGGAGGAACAUUCAGCAAUAGAAAAGGUUGUCGGAAGCAACACAACACGGUUACAUUACAACGCGCCCAAGCAAUACCACUGGAACUGUGUUUUUACGGUUUUCACGGUUCCCGGGGGAAUACAGCGAGUUGAAAGACCACGCGUGUGUUCGCGCUGUUAUGCCGGAGCACUGAAUUUAAACGAACUCUAGAGCACUGAAUUUAAACGAACUCUAGAGCACUGAAUUUAAACGAACUCUAGGGAAAUUAAAUCCCAAGUCUGGAACAGAAAGAGAGAUAACACGAAGCCCUUCCAUCCUUUACAACAUGGAGCUGCACAAAUACCUGCUACUCCUCAAGUUCAUAGUUCUCCUCAAAGGUAAGUUUGUAACCAGUGAGUUUUCACGUUGUCUAUCAUCUCAACCUUUCUAGAGCUGUUUUUUUCACGAAUACCUUUAACCCUUGACCCCGACCUUGACCCCUUUACAAAGUCAUUUCAAUGACAGCAUUUUGACAGUUUAAGUACCCUAUACAAACAUGUUCAUGAAUAUUAGGUAUUUUCUAGUUCCAGGUUCAUCAGUGUAUUCGUUAUCCCAAUGGCAUUGUAGGACCUACAACCUCUGCAGAGAAGUCUCUGGACCUUUAUGGCACAGCCAGUUAAUGCACCUACAGUACAUCAUAGGUCCUAGAACAUAAACACUGAUCCUGUAAACCAGUUGAAAGACCUCUAUAUCCACGACAGUGUGCAGGGUCAUUCUCUAUACUGAGACUUGGCCCAGCUAUUUACUGUGUAGGCAUACAGCUGUUUCCCUGGUUCCCCCCUGCUGCUGCUCCCCUGUCCAACUGUAUGAUAUGGUCAUCAAGUUACCUACUGGAGCUCCCUCAGUGGACUCACUCCUUAUCUUCAAACAACCAUGAAUAAUGAAUAAUGGAUUAUAUUUAUACACAAUAUGGCUUUUCUCCAGGUGUCAAAGCUCAAAGAACUUGAAAGUGAUUCACCUAAACAACUGCAGGCAUCAUUCUCUUAAGGUACAAAGGCUGAGGCAGGGAUAUUUAGAAAGCUCCAUGUAGCCUCCCUGUAGGCCUACAUCAUGUGAGAGGUAAUGCCCAGCCACUGUCAUGGGGUCUACACCUUUAUGGUACAAGAGGUUUUCCACUUUCACCUCUAACCACAGGGUUGCUGGUUCAAACCCCAUUUUGACUGCCACCUAAAUCACUACAUUGGUGGCAGAAGUGGGAUUCUGCAGUCUGGCCUUUUUUGCCCUCCUGCAAGGUUUAACUGUACAAUAUGGUAAUUAGCUUACAUAGCUUCCUCAAUGUGUAGGGCUAUCUUCUCUCCUGCUGGUUGCUGGAUAACCCCCCCCCCCCCNNNNNNNNNNNNNNNNNNNNNNNGCAACCUCCAUCCCACUUUAGUAGAGCAUGUUGAGCGCCAUGAUGAUCCUGUUCAUAAGUAUGUCCACAGUGUAUAACACUGUAAUAAGUAGGCACUAGACAUCUUACUUAAAGGUGGGGUGUUUAGAAGUAGCUUUUUGGAUCUAUGUAUCCAUACACUGAGUGUACAAAACAUUAAGAACACCUGCUCUUUCCAUGACAUAUACAGACCAGGUGAAUCCAGGUGAAAGCUAUGAUCCCUUAUUGAUGUCACUUGUUAAAUCCACUUCAAUUAGUGUAGAUGAAGGGGAGGCAGGUUAAAUAAGGAUUUUUAGGCCUUGAGACAAUUGAGACAUGGAUUGUGUAUGUGUGCCAUUCAGAGUUUGAAUGAGAAAGACAAAAUAUUUAAGUGCCUUUGAACAGGGUAUGGUAGUAGGUGCCAGGCGCACCGGUUUGAGUGUCAAGAACUGCAAUGAUGCUGAGUUUUUCACACUCAACAGUUUCCUGU
rnacentral:lncRNA from 8 species